GACGAACGCUGGCGGCGCGCUUAACACAUGCAAGUCGAGCGAAGCGGCGGACGGGUGAGUAACACGUGAGUAACCUGCCUUAGUCAUUGGGAUAGCCGCGGGAAACCGGGAUUAAUACAAAAUGGUCUAAGAUGGACUCGCGUCCCAAUAGAUAGUUGGGAGGUAACGGCCCACCAAUGCGACGAUGGGUAGCCGGCCUGAGAGGGUGAACGGCCACAUUGGAACUGAGCACCGGUCCAAACUCUACGUGAGGCAGCCGUGGGGAAUACUGCACAAUGGAGGGAACGCUGAUGCAGCGACGCCGCUGGAACGAAGAAGGCUUUCGAGUCGUAAAGUUCUUUUAUAUGGGAAGCGGUACCAUAAGAAUAAGCCCCGGCUAACUACGUGCCAGCAGCCGCGGUAAUAC
rnacentral:rRNA from 1 species